rnacentral:rRNA from 1 species
CGGAGGAUCCAAGCGUUAUCCGGAAUCAUUGGGUUUAAAGGGUCCGUAGGCGGGUUUAUAAGUCAGUGGUGAAAGCCCAUCGCUCAACGAUGGAACGGCCAUUGAUACUGUAGAUCUUGAAUUAUUAGGAAGUAACUAGAAUAUGUAGUGUAGCGGUGAAAUGCUUAGAGAUUACAUGGAAUACCAAUUGCGAAGGCAGGUUACUACUGAUGGAUUGACGCUGAUGGACGAAAGCGUGGGUAGCGAACAGGAUUAGAUACCCUGGUAGUCCACGCCGUAAACGAUGGAUACUAGCUGUUCGGAGCUAAUCUGAGUGGCUAAGCGAAAGUGAUAAGUAUCCCACCUGGGGAGUACGUUCGCAAGAAUG